AGAGUUUGAUCCUGGCUCAGAUUGAACGCUGGCGGAAUGCUUUACACAUGCAAGUCGAGCGGCAGCGCGGUCUUCGGACUGGCGGCGAGCGGCGAACGGGUGAGUAAUACAUCGGAACAUGCCCAGUCGUGGGGGAUAACACUUCGAAAGAAGUGCUAAUACCGCAUACGUCCUGAGGGAGAAAGCGGGGGAUCGCAAGACCUCGCGCGAUUGGAGUGGCCGAUGUCAGAUUAGCUAGUUGGUGGGGUAAAGGCCUACCAAGGCAACGAUCUGUAGCUGGUCUGAGAGGAUGAUCAGCCACACUGGGACUGAGACACGGCCCAGACUCCUACGGGAGGCAGCAGUGGGGAAUUUUGGACAAUGGGGGCAACCCUGAUCCAGCCAUUCCGCGUGAGUGAAGAAGGCCUUCGGGUUGUAAAGCUCUUUCGGCAGGAACGAAACGGCGAGCUCUAACAUAGCUCGCUAAUGACGGUACCUGAAGAAGAAGCACCGGCUAACUACGUGCCAGCAGCCGCGGUAAUACGUAGGGUGCGAGCGUUAAUCGGAAUUACUGGGCGUAAAGCGUGCGCAGGCGGUUGUGUAAGACAGGUGUGAAAUCCCCGGGCUUAACCUGGGAACUGCGCUU
rnacentral:rRNA from 1 species